UACGUAGGGACCAAGCGUUGUUUGGAUUUACUGGGCGUAAAGGGCGCGUAGGCGGCUUAACAAGUCACUUGUGAAAUCUCCGGGCUUAACUCGGAACGGCCAAGUGAAACUGUCAAGCUAGAGUGCAGAAGGGGCAAUCGGAAUUCUUGGUGUAGCGGUGAAAUGCGUAGAUAUCAAGAGGAACACCUGAGGUGAAGACGGGUUGCUGGGCUGACACUGACGCUGAGGCGCGAAAGCCAGGGGAGCAAACGGG
rnacentral:rRNA from 1 species